AUUGAACGCUGGCGGCAUGCCUUACACAUGCAAGUCGAACGGCAGCGCGGGGCAACCUGGCGGCGAGUGGCGAACGGGUGAGUAAUAUAUCGGAACGUACCCUGGAGUGGGGGAUAACGUAGCGAAAGUUACGCUAAUACCGCAUACGAUCUAAGGAUGAAAGCAGGGGACCGCAAGGCCUUGUGCUCCUGGAGCGGCCGAUAUCUGAUUAGCUAGUUGGUGGGGUAAAGGCCACCAAGGCAUCGAUCAGUAGCUGGUCUGAGAGGACGACCAGCCACACUGGAACUGAGACACGGUCCAGACUCCUACGGGAGGCAGCAGUGGGGAAUUUUGGACAAUGGGCGCAAGCCUGAUCCAGCAAUGCCGCGUGAGUGAAGAAGGCCU
rnacentral:rRNA from 1 species